rnacentral:rRNA from 1 species
AGAGUUUGAUCAUGGCUCAGGACGAACGCUGGCGGCGUGCCUAAUACAUGCAAGUCGAGCGAAUCAUUAGGAGCUUGCUCCUGAUGGUUAGCGGCGGACGGGUGAGUAACACGUGGGCAACCUGCCUAUAAGACUGGGAUAACUUCGGGAAACCGGAGCUAAUACCGGAUAAUCCUUUUCCUCACAUGAGGGAAAGCUGAAAGACGGUUUCGGCUGUCACUUAUAGAUGGGCCCGCGGCGCAUUAGCUAGUUGGUGAGGUAACGGCUCACCAAGGCGACGAUGCGUAGCCGACCUGAGAGGGUGAUCGGCCACACUAGGACUGAGACACGGCCCAGACUCCUACGGGAGGCAGCAGUAGGGAAUCUUCCGCAAUGGACGAAAGUCUGACGGAGCAACGCCGCGUGAACGAUGAAGGCCUUCGGGUCGUAAAGUUCUGUUGUUAGGGAAGAACAAGUAUCGGAGUAACUGCCGGUACCUUGACGGUACCUAACCAGAAAGCCACGGCUAACUACGUGCCAGCAGCCGCGGUAAUACGUAGGUGGCAAGCGUUGUCCGGAAUUAUUGGGCGUAAAGCGCGCGCAGGCGGUUCCUUAAGUCUGAUGUGAAAGCCCCCGGCUCAACCGGGGAGGGUCAUUGGAAACUGGGGAACUUGAGUACUGAAGAGGAAAGCGGAAUUCCACGUGUAGCGGUGAAAUGCGUAGAGAUGUGGAGGAACACCAGUGGCGAAGGCGGCUUUCUGGUCAGUAACUGACGCUGAGGCGCGAAAGCG